rnacentral:rRNA from 1 species
UACGUAGGGUGCAAGCGUUGUCCGGAAUUAUUGGGCGUAAAGAGCUCGUAGGCGGUUUUGUUGCGUCGGCUGUGAAAUCCCGAGGCUCAACCUCGGGUCUGCAGUCGAUACGAGCAAACUAGAGUGUUGCAGGGGAGACUGGAAUUCCUGGUGUAGCGGUGAAAUGCGCAGAUAUCAGGAGGAACACCGGUGGCGAAAGCAGCUUUCUGGGACGGUACUGACGCCUGGAGACGCGAAAGCGUGGGGAGCGAACAGG